rnacentral:rRNA from 1 species
UCCUUUGGUUAUAUAUUACCCUGAACAUGCCUGAUCUCGGAAGCUAAGCAGGGUCGGGCUUGGUUAGUACUUGGAUGGGAGACCGCCUGGGAAUACCUGGUCCUGUAGGCU